GUUCUCAUCAGUCUGCGUAUAAAUAACACGACUUUACACUUUCUAUUUGCGUGUAAUGCAUACGCCAAAUGCCAUUUUUGCGUGCAUAUGAUACGCCAAUCCUUCCCAUUAAUUUCGGUGGAGAGCAGAUGCGUCCAAAUAACACGCAUCAUCUUCAGCGGCAGUGACGUCACUAGCGAGGCUCGUUCAGUUCACCUGAUGCGCGUACACCUUCAAACAGGUAAGCAAGGUUACGUCGGAUUACAUACUCCACAACAACCUGUAAUCCAGCAGAUCUUUAAAGAAGCCAUCUCUUGUAAAAUCUCUCUCUCUCUCUCUCUCUCUCUCUCUCGCUCUGCUAGAAUUAACAGGGAACUUCAACUCCACGCUCCCAAUGCUGAUAUUGAAGAAGCUGUCAAGGGGGCUGAACAAGUCCUUCAAAGGAUCAACCCUUCACAGGAAGGCCUGUCAUGAGAUUUGAAUUUGACCAUCUUGUGCAUUUAUGAAGAAGACCAAAAGCUGCAAAGGCAAACACUUCCAAUGAAACUGAGAGUUUGCAUGAUGGCAUUUUCUCAGACGCUGAAUCUGAUGUGUACAGAUGAACUCAGGAGCCUACUAGAGUUGCCAAGGAACUUGUGCUUGAACUGAAGACCAGAAACGCAAAGAAAAUCAGUCAAACCAGUCCUAAAGAAAUGAGGAAUGAACAUGGACUUCUUGUGCCCCAAAAGAAAAGACAGAAAGCUCCUAAAAUGAGCAAAUAAGCUGUGCAUCAUCUCUGUGAUUUGGAAAGGAAAUGACUGAAUAUGAUGAAGCCAAUUGAUGAAGAUAUCAAUUGAAUGGCCACCGAGUGCAUCACUGCUACCUGAACCCAUCAGUUAUCUUCUGUGAAGACUGCAUUCACAAACCGCUCUACUGCGACAGCUCAGAUGUUACGGCCUGCAAAGUAAACAUCACAGCUAAACAACGAGAGCUAGUUGUGGUGGGAUUCUUUUGGCCAAUAUCCCCAACAAGAAUCAAUGACAUCUAGACCAGGUGGAGUGUGAGGAGGACCGUCAGAGACUCCAGCCAGCCGAGCCAUGGAUUGCUCUCACUGUUACCAUCAGGCAUGCGUUAUCACAGAACCUACACCAGCAGACAGUGAGACAAGUUCCUUUCACAGGCAAUCAGACUGAACUGAACUCAUACCAGUAAAACCAUACACACCCCACCAACCUCAUAUGCCCUGCACUCUUAUCAGUUAUGCUGACUGGACUCAAUAUUAUUAUGCACCCUGACAUUCUGUUUGCACUAAUUCAUACCGUGCUUUACUGCAGAGAUGUAUGUGUACUGUGAUUAUUAUUGUUUUCAAUUCAUGCUCUUUGUAUAGCAUAAUUUUUAACAUAUAUUGUUAUCUACCUGAAUUGAGUCCCUUAUAUAUGUGUGUUGCAUAUAUAUAUAUUCAGAAUUUGUAUUUCAUAUAUAUUCAUGAAUUAAUUCAUUUGUCAUCCAUACUGUCACGCUGCAGUCUGCACCCAAGACUUUCAUCACCUGUAUACUUGUGUUCAUUGUAUUGUGACAAUAAAGAUAUUUGAUUUAAA